GACGAACGCUGGCGGCGUGCUUAACACAUGCAAGUCGAACGGAAAGGCCCUGCUUUUGUGGGGUGCUCGAGUGGCGAACGGGUGAGUAACACGUGAGUAACCUGCCCUUGACUUUGGGAUAACUUCAGGAAACUGGGGCUAAUACCGGAUAGGAGCUCCUGCUGCAUGGUGGGGGUUGGAAAGUUUCGGCGGUUGGGGAUGGACUCGCGGCUUAUCAGCUUGUUGGUGGGGUAGUGGCUUACCAAGGCUUUGACGGGUAGCCGGCCUGAGAGGGUGACCGGCCACAUUGGGACUGAGAUACGGCCCAGGCUCCUACGGGAGGCAGCAGUGGGGAAUAUUGCACAAUGGGCGGAAGCCUGAUGAAGCAACGCCGCGUGCGGGAUGACGGCCUUCGGGUUGUAAACCGCUUUCGCCUGUGACGAAGCGUGAGUGACGGUAAUGGGUAAAGAAGCACCGGCUAACUACGUG
rnacentral:rRNA from 1 species